GGUUGUGAGAGCCAUCUUACUGAAACAUCUGUCACCCCACUGAUCUCCAGGGCUGAUCUGGCUGAUCUGGCUGUCUAGGCAGGUUUCCAUUUCCUACUUCACCACUCCAUGUGCGUUCCUCCAGGAGCUGCAAGCUGGGUUGAAGGGGAGGACCACCCUGACACAAACACCCACCACAGAAGAGGACCUCUUCCUCCAUUGAGUUAUAGUAGUAACUGCACUCCUUGGCUAGAACCUCCAAACAAGAUCUCAAGAUGUGCUGUCUCCUCUGCUCAAAUGUCAGAGCAGAGAAGCUUUUUUUGACCACUCAGAACUACCACCAUUU
rnacentral:snRNA from 1 species